GUUUCUUAAGUCUGAUGUGAAAGCCCCCGGCUCAACCGGGGAGGGUCAUUGGAAACUGGGGAACUUGAGUGCAGAAGAGGAGAGUGGAAUUCCACGUGUAGCGGUGAAAUGCGUAGAGAUGUGGAGGAACACCAGUGGCGAAGGCGACUCUCUGGUCUGUAACUGACGCUGAGGAGCGAAAGCGUGGGGAGCGAACAGGAUUAGAUACCCUGGUAGUCCACGCCGUAAACGAUGAGUGCUAAGUGUUAGGGGGUUUCCGCCCCUUAGUGCUGCAGCUAACGCAUUAAGCACUCCGCCUGGGGAGUACGGUCGCAAGACUGAAACUCAAAGGAAUUGACGGGGGCCCGCACAAGCGGUGGAGCAUGUGGUUUAAUUCGAAGCAACGCGAAGAACCUUACCAGGUCUUGACAUCCUCUGACAAUCCUAGAGAUAGGACGUCCCCUUCGGGGGCAGAGUGACAGGUGGUGCAUGGUUGUCGUCAGCUCGUGUCGUGAGAUGUUGGGUUAAGUCCCGCAACGAGCGCAACCCUUGAUCUUAGUUGCCAGCAUUCAGUUGGGCACUCUAAGGUGACUGCCGGUGACAAACCGGAGGAAGGUGGGGAUGACGUCAAAUCAUCAUGCCCCUUAUGACCUGGGCUACACACGUGCUACAAUGGACAGAACAAAGGGCAGCGAAACCGCGAGGUUAAGCCAAUCCCACAAAUCUGUUCUCAGUUCGGAUCGCAGUCUGCAACUCGACUGCGUGAAGCUGGAAUCGCUAGUA
rnacentral:rRNA from 1 species